rnacentral:rRNA from 1 species
CCUACGGGGGGCAGCAGUGGGGAAUAUUGCACAAUGGGCGAAAGCCUGAUGCAGCGACGCCGCGUGAAGGAUGAAGUAUUUCGGUAUGUAAACUUCUAUCAGCAGGGAAGAAAAUGACGGUACCUGACUAAGAAGCCCCGGCUAACUACGUGCCAGCAGCCGCGGUAAUACGUAGGGGGCAAGCGUUAUCCGGAUUUACUGGGUGUAAAGGGAGCGUAGACGGCGAUGCAAGCCAGAUGUGAAAGCCCGGGGCUCAACCCCGGGACUGCAUUUGGAACUGUGUGGCUGGAGUGUCGGAGAGGCAA